GCUGGGUGCGGUGGCUCACGCCUGUAAUCCCAGCACUUUGGGAGGCUGAGGCGGGUGGAUCACCUGAGGUCAGGAGUUCGAGACCAGCCUGGCCAACAUGGUGAAACCCCGUCUCUA
rnacentral:sRNA from 1 species